rnacentral:tRNA from 1 species
GCCGGUAUAGGUUAAUGGCAGACUACCAGCUUCCCAAGCUGGGGGUGCGGGUUCGAUUCCCGUUACCGGCUCCA